GCUAUAUUGCACACAAAAUACUAACAGCACUCUGCACUGAAGAUGGCAAACAACAUAUAUGCUGUCGUUGAAUUUAUAGAGGAACAAUUAGUGGAAAUUGUUGCAACAUGUUGGAUUGAGACAAUUGAUUGUGAAUUAUACUGCUACUGGCCACGAAAUAAUGCAUCUCAUAAAUUAAGGAAGCUCGAGAUUCCAGACAAAGAAACUUGGAUUGCUUAUAAAGUCAGAGUUUUCUCAUAUACAGAUUCAGUAGCAAAAGCACAAAAGAUUUUGAAAAGGGCUGAAGAAACAUCAAAUGUUGAAUCCGAUUCAGAUUCUGGCCAUGCAAAAAAAAAGAAGGCGCACAAAAGCCAGUUUAUUUCAAUAUUCAGAAGGCAGUGAUACGGAUGAAGAUAUCUCAAAAAAUGGGAAAAAGAAGUCAGCCCCUACAUCAUCUUCCCCAGUUAUUACACCAUUGCUCCCUGGUGCACCGAGCUUUUCAUCAAAUCCAUCGAAUGAAAUGAGUCUGCCCAUGGCUCAGAGAAAGGGUUUGUCAACCUUCGAUAAAUUUUUAGUGCCCUGAGCAAUCCUCUCACUGAUGCAUCUAGGACCAGUUUAAGUUCUGGUGUACAGAAUGUCUAUGGAAACCAGCCUGAGGCUAUUUUUUAUCAAAUAGCUGCUGAAACUCCUGAAGGCAACAGGAAUUCAUGUGAAAGAAGCCAGCAUUACAGUAUGUGUACUUGAUUUCAUUAUGCUUUACCAAAGAGAAAUAUUUUAUG